AGGGAACCUCAGAGAGUGCCAGAGACUUGUUCAAGAUCUGAGCGAAGAUGCUGGUAUGUGGGUCAGCACUAACUUUCUGGCAGAACGGAGAAGGUCUAAGGGAAGGCAUCCUAUCUUGGCUCAGACUCCUGGAGCCCUUGUCUGGUCUGAAGCCUUGGACCCAAGGCGUCUACCAUUUUCAAGUCCUCCAUACCUGCUGGACAUCUCGGCUUCCACAGUGGUCUCUCCUUUACCUGGAAGUCUCACUUUCUUGGAAAACAUGGAACACAUCACCUCCAAACCAGACGGACGUUACUCUAAGCGACAUCCGUUCUGCAGACACAAAUAAGCCAGAGAUCGCUCUCUUACCCAGAUAUCUUCAGUCAUUUCCCCUCGAGUCUAAAUUGCACUCUACUUCCUUUACAGAACCAAAACAACGCAGCUAAUUGUCAUCAUCUCUUCGUUCAGCUACCCAAAACCUGUUUUCUGACCCUGAGUGGUUUCCUGCAUGUGAAUCAUUAAUUUACCUCCAUUCAUGACAGAGUGACUCUAACUGAAUUCUUUAUUAAUUGUCACUGUCAAUACACACAUCCCUCUUCCCUGUUUUAAUACAUCCUCUUAAUUGAUUUUUGCAUAAUGAAGUUCCAACUUAAGGGGAAAUCAUGUGGCCUGGAUUUUUUUUUUAAGUUAUUUUUGCCAUUGUGUCUUUUAGCAUUUAACAAAACUGUCAAAUCUGAACAAGCAAAACUCCAAUAUUCCUGGUGUGCACAACAAGAAACUGCCUGCAGCUUUUGAUAGUGAGCGAUAUGAGGGCGUGGCUUUACUGGAAUGCAUUGUUGCCUAAGUUUCCAAAAUGAAAGCUACAUCUUCCCGCAAGCUGUGUGGCAACAUAUUUUAUGAAUGAGAGGUCUGACAUAUAUUUUUCUAAGCUUUUACAAGACAAAGCUUCAUCAGAACUCCUUUUUCAUUGAGCAGAAUCAGCAUUUUUGGUGCGAACAGUUGUCUGCUACAGCUUGUAGCAAGUGUGCAUAUAGAUUUGAUCUUCAUGGGCUAGGUGUCUGCAUUCAGACAUUGCAGUUUGCAUUUCAUUUUUUUGCCUAAAAGAACGAUAACUUUCUGCUACAGGUGCUCAGUGUGGUGUGGAAAAGUUCAAACGGACUUGCGUCAUUGUGCUUGGAGGAAGCCUGCAUGCUUCCCACUUGAGGAAUUUCCUCUUGCAUAAAGCAAACUCAUGCAGACAUUGCUUUUCUACUCACCUAGUCUAAUGAGCCUUCCCUCUGCAUCUCUGCAGAACCCCCAUCAGCUUCUCUGAAUCUGCUGAUAUUGUUAGCGAAGCACUUUUUGCUACCCCACAUCCCACAUUAUUACCAAUAUCUGCUGUAAGGAUAUAGAAAUUAUGCCCAACUUGCCAAGUUUGCGUAAGUCUUGUCUUCUAAAAAAAAAAAAAAAAAAAAAA